GAUGAACGCUGGCGGCGCGCCUAACACAUGCAAGUCGAACGGUUAAAGCAUCUUCGGAUGUGCAUAAAGUGGCGAACGGCUGAGUAACACGUGGGCAACCUGCCCCUCGCAUCGGGACAGCCUCGGGAAACCGUGGUUAAUACCGGAUACUCCGCCACCCCCGCAUGGGGGAAGCGGGAAAGCCCAGACGGCGAGGGAUGGGCCCGCGGCCUGUUAGCUUGUUGGUGGGGCAGUGGCCCACCAAGGCGAUGAUGGGUAGCCGGGUUGAGAGACCGACCGGCCAGAUUGGGACUGAGACACGGCCCAGACUCCUACGGGAGGCAGCAGUGGGGAAUCUUGCACAAUGGGCGAAAGCCUGAUGCAGCGACGCCGCGUGCGGGACGAAGGCCUUCGGGUCGUAAACCGCUUUCAGCAGGGACGAGGCCGCAAGUGACGUACCUGCAGAAGAGCCC
rnacentral:rRNA from 1 species